UCAGGCAUCACCGUAUCAAGAAGCCAGGCCCCUGACAUGAAUCCAGCAGAAGGCAAAGUUGCAAACAGCCCAUUUGAGGAGGGAAGAAGAAUCCAGGCCAAAGCUUAAAGCAUUCCCCAUUAAAUGUUGCUUCCGGCAGAGGCCAGUGGGGGAAGGAAGGCCAGAGAGAGAAAAAGGGCUGAGAAAGACAGCAAGGUCAACAGUAUCAGACGCCACUGAGUGAAUCAGAAGAGGCCAGAGAAACAGCUACACAUUUGACAACACAAAGGCCACUUAGAACCUUGACAAGGCUUUUGUGACAUGGUAGAGAGAGAUCAGAUCGGAUGGAGUUGAAGUGGAAGCAGGCAUUAUGGGCAAACUAUAUUGAAUCUUGUUCUGAAUAGGUGGAUGUCAAAGACACAGUGUCUGUAACUGGAUGUUCUCAAGAGAAAUAGAACCAGUUACAGAAAAGGGAGAGCAAAGAGGUGGAAAAUGUAUUGUAAGAAUUAAUUCAUGUGAUUGUGGAAAAUGAAGUGUGCCACAAUUUUCUAAAGCUAGAAAACCAGGUAAUUGGGUGGUGUCAUUAAGUCUGGAGAGCUAACAAUCAAAGGACUUGAAGAAUCCAAAGACCUCUGGUGGAAGUCCUAGAGUUUGAAGGCUGGAGAAUCAUUUCUCUGUUGGCCAAGGUCAUACAGCUCAAAGAGAAAGGAUCGACUCUUGGAGCUCAGCCUGGUGCUUGGCUGUUGAUAUCUGCAUGUGCUUCCA